UGGGGAAUUUUGGACAAUGGGCGCAAGCCUGAUCCAGCCAUGCCGCGUGAGUGAAGAAGGCCUUCGGGUUGUAAAGCUCUUUCGGCCGGGACGAAAUCGCACGGGUUAACACCGCGUGUGGAUGACGGUACCGGAAUAAGAAGCACCGGCUAACUACGUGCCAGCAGCCGCGGUAAUACGUAGGGUGCGAGCGUUAAUCGGAAUUACUGGGCGUAAAGCGUGCGCAGGCGGUUUUGUAAGCCAGAUGUGA
rnacentral:rRNA from 1 species